rnacentral:rRNA from 1 species
UACAGAGGUCCCAAGCGUUGUUCGGAUUCAUUGGGCGUAAAGGGCGCGUAGGCGGCGCGGUAAGUCGGGUGUGAAAUCUCGGAGCUUAACUCCGAAACUGCAUUCGAUACUGCCGUGCUUGAGGACUGGAGAGGAGACUGGAAUUUACGGUGUAGCGGUGAAAUGCGUAGAUAUCGUAAGGAAGACCAGUGGCGAAAGCGGCGCUCUGGAACGGUACUGACGCUGAGACGCGAAAGCGUGGGGAGCGAACAGG